AUAAAUGCAACUCCCCAAUCAAUUUUUAUAUGAUAAAAAUUAUUUUUAGUCAGAACAACUGCAUUCUAUUCAUAUAAUAAUUCACAUGGAAUUCUUAGCAAGGAAGAUAUUAAUUUAUAUAAAUACAUAAAUUUUUCUUGGCAGUCGAUGAACAAUAAUAUCUUCCAUCAUCGUUUAGAAAACCUGUGAUAACUAGGAUGCAUUCCUUCUGCUAAUCUUUUGAUAGAAUAUUACUGCAUAUGGUUUCUUCCAAGUAAACAGUCUACCCUAUGAGGUUAGUGUAAUAUGUUGUAUGUUCAUAAUAUAAUCUAUGAACAGUCAACGUCAAUGUUCAGGAUAUCUUGGAACCUUUUUGCGAGUUUUGUUACAUCUAUUAACAGUCUACGUCAAUGUUCAGGAGAGAUCUUGGAACCGAGGUAAUGCAGACUCUUUUUGAUGUGUGUAUUACAGUUGCACACAUGCGCAAUGUUCGGAAAGUCAUAUAAACUGCAUUGCAUAAAGGAAUUUUGACAGAUGACAACUUGCCAGUUUGAAGGUGAAUCUCGAAGAGGACGGUACUUCGAUCAUAUACUUGGUGUUUUUAAACAACAAUACGCGUUUCCUUCGAUUAAUUAACAAUUAUUUAUGUAUUUUAAUACACUUUUUAUACAAUACAGGACAAUUUAACCCUCGAAGCCAUCACUGUGUAGGAGCGAUGAAAUAGUUACAUAGAAUAGAAAAAAAGAUAUAUUCUUAUCGUUAUAAUGUAAAAUUUAUUUUAUUAAAAGGGUUAUUAACGUAAUGCACAUGUUCAGCAUUCAGAAAGCCCGUUUAUUCCGUUGUUAUCCCGUUAAUUUCAAAUAAUCUUUUCAAUUAAUUUUCUAACGUAAAUCUUCCUAUUAUAUAUCAAAUGAUAGCAUCAUGCAAGAACUUUAUACAUGUGUGUUUUCAUUUUUCACUUUAUUUUUGGUAUCUGAGCAUGGGGAAAGUGCAGCACUCUUUCUUUCAAAGAUUUGGAAUAAUGUAAUUUUUAAUUUUAACAUAGAUUUAAUAAUAUAAUCAUUUGAAAU